ACGACUCUCGAAAAUAGAUAUCUCGGCUCUCGCAUCGAUGAAGAAUAUAGUAAAAUAUGAUACUUGGUGUGAAUUGCAGAAUCCUGUGAACCAUUGAGUCUUUGAACGCAAGUUGCUCCCGAAGCCACUAGGCCAAGGGCACGCUUGCCUGGGUGUCACGCAUCGCGUCGCCCCCUGCCUGCGCCCAAACGCGUGGCGAGGGCGGAGAGUGGUCCCCCGUGUGUGGUGCCGCACAGUCGGCCCAAAUGUGAUCCCCCGGUAAUGCACAUCACGACAAGUGGUGGUUGAACCCUCAAUGCAUGCUGUUGUGCACCACCGUGUCGGGAUGCACGAUCAGACCCAAUGGCACGUGCGAGCACAUCGCCUUCGACGGUGACCUUAGGUCAGGCGGGAUCACCCGCUGAGUUUAACCAUAUCAAUAAGCAGAGAAAAAUAAACUUAUAAGGAUUUUCCUAGUAACGGCGAGCGAACCAGGAAUAACCCAACUUGGGAAUUGGGCGGCCACACCAUUAGAAUUAUAGUCUGGAGAAGCAUCCUCCGCGGCGAACCAGGGUCGAGUCCCUUGGAAUGGGGCACCAUAGAGGGUGAGAGCCCCAUUGCUCCCGAACCCUGUUGCACCACAAGGCACUGUCGGCGAGUUGGUUGUUUGGAAAUGCAGCCCCAAUCAGGCGGUAAAUUCCAUCCAAGGCUAAAUACGGGCGAGAGAACAAUAGCGAACAAGUACUACGAGGGAAAGAUGAAAAGGACUUUGAAAAGAGAGUCAAAGAGUGCUUGAAAUUGUUGGGAGGGAAGCAGAUGGGAGCCGACGAUGCAUCCCAGUCGGACAUGGAACAACGAGAGCCAGUCCGCUGAUCGACUCAGGGCGUGGACCACCACGGAUCGAUGCGGCGCUCAAAGCUCGGGCGAUCGAUAUGCUCAUUGUACAGCAUCACAUCGAUCCAGGUUGACAGCGCGCACCUCGUGCGUGCCUCAGUAACUGCGCGUUCUCGGUGCUGGCCUGCAGGCUCUCCAUUCGACCCUUCUUGAAACAUGAACCAAGGAGUUUGACAUGUGCACAAGUCAAUGGGCGAUUAAACCAGUAAGAAGCAAGGAAGCUGACCUGUGCGAUCCCCCCGAGUGGUGCACUGCCGACCGACCUUGAUAUUCUUAGAAGAGUUUGAGUGAGCGUAUUUGUCGGGACCCAAAAGAGGGUGAACAAUGCCUGAGCGGGGCGAAGCUAGAGGAAACUCUGGUGGAGGCCCGCAGCGUUACUGAUGUGCAAAUUGUUCGUCUGACUUAGGUAUAGGGGUAAAAGACUAAUCGAACCAUCUAGUAGCUGGUUUCCUCUGAAGUUUCCCUUAGGAUAGCUGGAGCACUAGUGCGAGUUCUAUCAGGUAAAGCCAAUGAUUAGAGGCAUCGGGGGCGCACCGCCCUUGACCUAUUCUCAAACUUUAAAUAGGUAGGACGACGCGGCUGCUCCGUUGAGCAGUGCCAGAGAAUCGUGAGCUCCAACUGGGCCAUUUUUGGUAAGCAGAACUGGCGAUGCAGGAUGAACUGGAAGCUAGGUUACGGUGCCCAACUGCGCUAACCUAGAUCCCACAAAGGGUGUUGGUCGAUUAAGACAGCAGGACGGUGGUCAUGGAAGUUGAAAUCCGCUAUGGAGUGUGUAACAACUCACCUGCUGAAUCAACUAGCCCCGAAAAUGGAUGGCGCUGAAGCGGGCGACCUAUACCCAGCCGUCAGGGCAAGGACCCGAUGAUUAGGAGGGCGCGGCAGUCGCUACAAAACCCUGGGCGCGAGCCCGAGUGGAGCGGCCGAAGAGGGAAAAGGUUCCAUGUGAACGGUACUGGCACAUGGGUUAGUUGAUCCUAAGGGUCGGAGGAAGCCCGACAGACAGCGUGUUCAGCGCGUGCCCCAAAAUGAAAUCGGGUUAAAAUUCAAUAAUUAGGACGCGGCGGUUGACAGCAAUGUUAGGGAGUCCGAAGACAUCGGCGGAGGCCUCGGGAAGAGUUAUCUUUUUUGUUUAAUAGCCCGUCCACCCUGGAAACGGCUCAGUCGGAGGUAGGUCCAGAGGCUAGAAGAGCAUCGCACGUCGCAUGGUGUCCGGUGCGCCCCCGGUGGCCCUUGAAAAUCUGGAGGACCGAGUACCGUCUGCGCCCGAUCGUACUCAUAACCGCAUCAGGUCUCCAAGGUGAACAACCUCGGUCGAUGGAACAAUGUAGGCAAGGGAAGUCGGCAAAAUAGAUCCGUAACCUUGGGAAAAGGAUUAGCUCUGAGGGCUGGGCACGGGGGUACCAGUCCCGAACUCGUCGGCUGUCGGCAAACUGCUCGAGCUGCUCGCGCGGCGAGAGUGGGUCUUCGCGUGCUGGCCGGGGGACUGACUGGGAACGGCUCACUCAGGGCCUUCCCCGGGCAUCGAACAGUCGACUCAGAACUAGUUCGGACAAGGGGAAUCUGACUGUUUAAUUAAAAUAAAGCAUUGUGAUGGUCCCUGCGGAUGCUCACGCAAUGUGAUUUCUGCCUAGUGCUCUGAAUAUCAAAGUGAAGAAAUUUAACCAAGCGCGGGUAAACGGUGGGAGUAACUAUGAUGCUGAAUAUAGAUGUUGAUAUUCAGAAAAAAGCCGAAGCCAGAUACAAUGUACAAAAGCAAACCUCAACGACUAAGGUCGAAAUCUAGACCCAACGAAACAAACAUCAAGAGGGUCCGAACGCUAUCAUCUAACUAGAAGAAACUGAAACCUAGCCACAUGCAUUAAAAAUGUUAUUUACAACACCACUAAUAGAUGGUCUGAAAUUAUCAUAUAUGGCAUCAUUCCUCGCUUUCCAAAUAAAAUAUACCGUAGUAAAAAGAGCAAGCUUCUUCCAUCUAUGAUCCACUUUUCGAGUACCACGAUCCUUAGAAAUCCACUUGACACCUGCAAAGAUGGUAGAAAUACGUCUUUGCCAUCCAAUGAAAGAGCGCACUUGCUCCCAAACAGUACUUGAAAAAGAACACUGAAAGAACAAAUGAUCUCUUGAUUCAUGAAAACCCACAUAAAAACAACAUUCCGUGCAAUCUCCUUCCGCAUGCCAACGAUCCAAAGUGGUUAAGCGAUUCUUAGCCACUAUCCACAUACGAAACACAUGCUUCCUAGGGACGCACGAAGGUCAUAUCUUCGCAAAGAAGAAUCUCCUUGGGGCUGAUGGGGCAACCAUAUUAUAAAGCUUACGAGUAACAAGGCUGCCCAAUUCUGAACACUCCAUAAAAGCAUCAAUAGGAUCACCUGGUAACCGUGCU
rnacentral:rRNA from 1 species